UACGGAGGGUGCAAGCGUUAUCCGGAUUCACUGGGUUUAAAGGGUGCGUAGGUGGGCAGGUAAGUCAGUGGUGAAAUCUCCGGGCUUAACUCGGAAACUGCCAUUGAUACUAUCUGUCUUGAAUACCGUGGAGGUUAGCGGAAUAUGUCAUGUAGCGGUGAAAUGCUUAGAUAUGACAUAGAACACCAAUUGCGAAGGCAGCUGGCUACACGAAUAUUGACACUGAUGCACGAAAAGCGUGGGGAUCAAACAGG
rnacentral:rRNA from 1 species